rnacentral:rRNA from 1 species
CCUACGGUGGCAGCAGUCGGGAAUAUUGGACAAUGGGCGAAAGCCUGAUCCAGCCAUGCCGCGUGUGUGAAGAAGGCCUUCGGGUUGUAAAGCACUUUCAGUGGGGAAGAAAGCCUUGGGGCUAAUACCCUCGAGGAAGGACAUCACCCACAGAAGAAGCACCGGCUAACUCCGUGCCAGCAGCCGCGGUAAUACGGAGGGUGCGAGCGUUAAUCGGAAUUACUGGGCGUAAAGCGCGCGUAGGCGGUCUGAUAAGCCGGUUGUGAAAGCCCCGGGCUCAACCUGGGAACGGCAUCCGGAACUGUCAGGCUAGAGUGCAGGAGAGGAAGGUAGAAUUCCCGGUGUAGCGGUGAAAUGCGUAGAGAUCGGGAGGAAUACCAGUGGCGAAGGCGGCCUUCUGGACUGACACUGACGCUGAGGUGCGAAAGCGUGGGUAGCAAACAGGAUUAGAUACCCGGGUAGUC